UACGUAGGGUGCAAGCGUUGUCCGGAAUUAUUGGGCGUAAAGAGCUCGUAGGCGGUUUGUCGCGUCUGCUGUGAAAACUCGAGGCUCAACCUCGAGACGUCGGCGGAAACCAUCUGGCUAGAGUCCGGAAGAGGAGAGUGGAAUUCCUGGUGUAGCGGUGAAAUGCGCAGAUAUCAGGAAGAACACCCGUGGCGAAGGCGGCUCUCUGGGACGGUACUGACGCUGAGACGCGAAAGCGUGGGGAGCAAACAGG
rnacentral:rRNA from 1 species